CCUGGGGACACCUCCUCCGCGGGGCGCAGAGGGCUCUGCUCCGCCAGGGGCUUCACUCCAGCAACCCAACAAUGGGAAACACAGCUCCGCCCUCACAAGCUCAGGGACUCCGAGGACUCCUCCUCCAAGCAAAGCCUGGGGUGAGCCAGUGGCAGCUGUGCCCACCCUAAGGUCUACACUGAUAUGCACAAAGUAUGGGGACAAGCGGCCCCUCCCAGGCCCCCUGUGGGGUCCAGCCGCCUGGGCAGAGGGGACAGUGUGGGUGAAGGUCCGAGGCGGUGAGCUGAUGGCGUUGCAAGUGCGGAGAAGGUGGGGCGCUGGCGAUGGCCGGGUGUGAGCAGGCAGGGGCAGGCCUCACAGGCCCUCACGCGGCACAGGAGGGGCCUGGACGCUUCUGUUUCAGCAACUCCUCCAGACACGCAGCAGAAACCAGCCUGUGGUUUCUGGAAGUUUGGCCAGCCACAGCCUCGGGAGGAGAAAAGGAAGGAGCACCUUGCCAAACCGGUUUCCCUCCAGUGCCCACAAAAUCUAACCUUGCCUCAAGCCAAGUUCCUGCCAAGGGAGGCCAUACGCGGGUCCGGGGACAGCUCCAGACUCAGGGGACACACCUGCCCACCCCCCCGGGAGGCGCCCACACAGGACGGCAGAGGGAUGGGAAGGGGGCCAGACGCGGAGGAGCGCCGGCGGCCUCCUCAGGGGAGAAAGAGGAGACAGCAGAGAGGCGGUGGAAGCUUCCAGAAAGACAAGGCGAGGCGAAGUCAAGUCAGACUUUGGGACACAGAACACUCUGAGCCGCGGAUCCUGUGGGAGCUGGUGAAGGUGCGAGAAAUCCAAAUAUAUGACAUGGGCCCAGGCCCCACGCCUCCCCCCUGGGAGGGCAGACAGCUGCCGGACACCUCCUGGACUGGGGGGGUGGACAGCUGCCGGACACAUCCCGGACUGGGGGGGUGGACAGCCACCGGACACAUCCCGGAGCUCACGGGUUCUCUGAAGAGACCUGAAGGGCCCUCCCCCGGUGUCUCGCGAGAUGUCGGGGGCCCUGAAAGCAGCACGUAGACACCCACCUCCAGGGCACGCUGACCCCUGUGUCCAGGUACCAAAUGCGAGUCCAGCCUCACUCCACAGCUGCCCGCCCCGGCCCUGACGCCCCUCCCCCCGCCUGGCACUCACCAUCACGAGCUCCUUCUGGAAGGACGUGUGGUCCUUGUUGUCCACGUUGUUGCAGUCCUCCUUCAGCUUCUCCAGGACACAGGCCACCCGCUCGGGCUCGCUGUCCAGCUCGGCCCGGCAGAAGAAGGUGAGCGGCAGGUCCCCGUAGCCCAGGGCGUCGGCGAAGGAGCGCCAGCUGCCCACGUUCUCCAUGAGCAGCGUCCUGACGGAGGCGUAGAUGUAGGUGAGGAACUUGCAGGGCCGCAGGAUCUGCUCCAGCA